rnacentral:lncRNA from 15 species
GCAGGCAGGCUGAGUCUGGGGCAGGCAGCCAAACAGUUUGGGGUCCCAAAAACGAGCCUGAGUGACCGAGUCAGUGGAAGGGUGGCCUCUGACUGUGUGCACGGUCAGAGGCCACUUCUCACCCCUGCAGAUGAAGAUUCCCUGGUGGAGUACUGCCUUUACUCUGCCAGUCAUGGGUUUCCACUGACAAAGCCUCAGGUUCAGUCUUUUGCGACAGCAAUUUACAAUCAGCGCUGUCCAGAAGAGAGAAGGGGGAAGUUGGGCCAGACGUGGUGGCUCAACUUCCGCAGGAGGCAAGGCCAGCGCUUCACUUCUCGGACCCCAGACAAUAUUGACCGUGGGAGGGCAUCCUGUGCCAAGAGGGGGCCGAUUGAAGAAUACUUCAGGCUCCUCACUACCACCAUGGAGGAGCACGGGUUGAGGGAGAAACCCCGUCAAGUCUAUAACUGCGAUGAGACGGGGUUUCAGCUGGACUCGUCGAGACGAAAGGUCCUCGUGCCCCGGGGGACAAAACAUGCUUACAGGCAGGCCCAGGGGACCAGGGACCACGUCACCGUCCUGGCCUGCCUCAACGCGGCUGGGGAGGAUAUCCCCCCUUUCAUAAUUUACAAGGGGGGAUAUCCCGGGGGGCCCUAUAACAAGGAGGGGGUCCCCGACGCCCUCUACGGGAAGUCACCGGCAGGGUACAUGGACAGUGAGCUGUUCAGGAAGUGGUUUGUCGGGCAUUUCCUGAAGUUCGCCGCGGAGGAGCGCCCGCUGCUGCUUGUUUUUGAUGGGCACAAAUCCCACCUGGAUCCAGAGCUGGUCCGGGUGGCACAGAGGGAGGAGGUCAUUCUCCUGUGCCUACCACCACACACAUCUCACAUCCUGCAGCCUCUGGAUAUGAGUUUCUUUGGACCCUUGAAGGCAGAUUUCUCUGGAAUUACAGGAGAUCUGUCGGUCAUGAGCCACUCCUUCUUGGUUUCCAAGAAGGAGUUUUCAAGGGUCCUUAGGGACUCAUAUCAGAGGGUGAAGGAUCGGGGAGUGGUGGUGGCUGGGUUCAGGAAGUGUGGCCUCUACCCUCUGGACCCGGAAGCCAUUGAUUGGUCACGGGUCAUGCCAUCCGGACCGCGGCGUGGGACCUCCUCGCCACCUCCGCCAACCCCAUCAGCAUCUUCCUGGGCCAUGCCUGAUGUUACCCCCCCAUCCCAACACCCCCCCACACACCAGAGUCCACCCCCUGUCUCUUGUCCACCCCCUGUCUCUUGUCCACCCCCUGUCUCUUGUCCACCCCAUGUCUCUUGUCCACCCCAUGUCUCUUGUCCACCCAAUCCCUACUCUAACCAUCCCCUGGUAACAUCAGGCAGGAUAUCAGUAGACCUGGCCCACCUCCUGCCCGAGGUGCGUUAUAAUACCACCAAGGGCAGGAGGAAUACCACCAAGGCCAGGAUACUGACGGCUCAGGAGAUGUCUGAUGCCAUCGAGGAGGCGGAGGACCGUGCUGCAAGGCGGGAGGCCCAAGCUCUGGCCAGAGAGCAGCGGCGGGCCGAAAACAACGGCCCGACAGCCACUUCCUCUACCCUGCCUGGUGGCUCCCGUCCCAGCCGCAGAACAGCAUCCCCCAGGGCUGCCUCGGCCUCCAGCGCCGGCCUUUCCAUCGCCGGUCCCUCAACCCGCUCGGCCCCCUCUAGUUCCUCCCACGGUCACCAGCUGCCUGCCCCCAGCGGAACAUCCCCACCUAGCCUGCCUGCACCUGGCUGGCUACUGGAUGAGCCAUCAACAUCUGCCUUCGGCCUCCGAGGGUCCAGAAUGUCUUCCUCUCCCUCCCAAUCCUGCAGACAGACAGCUGCGCCAUUGUCCAGCUCCUCCCAGCCGUCUGCUGGACCCAUGGCAUCCACUGGUAUUGUAUUUAACAUUAACAGUCUUUGUGUGCCAUCCCAUGAUAUUCAAAACAUGUUCUUAAAUAUAUUUUUUCUAUGAGUAGGUCACACCAAUGUGGAAGAUCUGUGUGGCCAGUGCAGGGAACCUGACCCUCCGGGCGCCUGCUCGGAGGGAUUGGUGCCGUGGGUCCAGUGCAACAAAUGCGCAAAAUGGUUUCACACCAUUUGUGUCGGCUGGGAGGAGCUGGACAAAGAUGAAUUUUGGUGUUUUUGGUGCCUGAAUUUGUUUGAUAAGUUUGUUAUUUAAUUUGUUUUUAA